rnacentral:rRNA from 1 species
AUUAACGCUAGCGGCAGGCAUAAUACAUGCAAGUUGAACGGCAGCACAGGUAGCAAUACUGGGUGGCGAGUGGCGCACGGGUGCGUAACACGUAUGCAACCUACCCUAUACAGGCGAGUAACCUUUAGAAAUGAGGGCUAAUACGCCGUAGUAUUACAGAUGGGCAUCUAUUUGUAAUUAAAGAUUUAUCGGUAUAGGAUGGGCAUGCGUCCCAUUAGUUAGUUGGUAAGGUAACGGCUUACCAAGACGAUGAUGGGUA